UACGGAGGGUGCAAGCGUUAUCCGGAUUCACUGGGUUUAAAGGGUGCGUAGGCGGGCAGAUAAGUCAGUGGUGAAAUCUCCGAGCUUAACUCGGAAACUGCCGUUGAUACUAUUUGUCUUGAAUACUGUGGAGGUAAGCGGAAUAUGUCAUGUAGCGGUGAAAUGCUUAGAUAUGACAUAGAACACCAAUUGCGAAGGCAGCUUACUACGGAUGCAUUGACACUGAGGCACGAAAGCGUGGGGAUCAAACAGG
rnacentral:rRNA from 1 species